rnacentral:rRNA from 1 species
UACGUAGGGGGCAAGCGUUAUCCGGAAUCACUGGGCGUAAAGGGUGCGUAGGCGGCCUGACAAGUCAGAGGUGAAAGGCUACGGCUUAACCGUAGUAAGCCUUUGAAACUGUUGGGCUUGAGUGCAGGAGAGGGCAAUGGAAUUCCAUGUGUAGCGGUAAAAUGCGUAGAUAUAUGGAGGAACACCAGUGGCGAAGGCGACUUACUGGACUGUAACUGACGCUGAGGCACGAAAGCGUGGGGAGCAAACA